rnacentral:rRNA from 1 species
CAGUCGAGCGGUAACAGGGGGAGCUUGCUCCCCGCUGACGAGCGGCGGACGGGUGAGUAAUGCAUAGGAAACUGCCCAGUAGUGGGGGAUAGCCCGGGGAAACCCGGAUUAAUACCGCAUACGCCCUUCGGGGGAAAGCAGGGGAUCUUCGGACCUUGCGCUAUUGGAUGUGCCUAUGUCGGAUUAGCUAGUUGGUGGGGUAAGAGCCUACCAAGGCGACGAUCCGUAGCUGGUCUGAGAGGAUGAUCAGCCACAUCGGGACUGAGACACGGCCCGAACUCCUACGGGAGGCAGCAGUGGGGAAUAUUGGACAAUGGGGGCAACCCUGAUCCAGCCAUGCCGCGUGUGUGAAGAAGGCUUUCGGGUUGUAAAGCACUUUCAGUGAGGAGGAAAACCUUACGACUAAUACUCGUGAGGCUUGGACUUUCUUACAGAAAAAGGCCCCGGCUUACUUCCGUUCCAGCCGCCCCGGGUAUACCGGGGGGGGGCAGCC